CACGUAGGGGGCAAGCGUUGUCCGGAUUUAUUGGGCGUAAAGAGCUCGUAGGCGGUUCGGUAAGUCGGGUGUGAAACCUCCAGGCUCAACCUGGAGACGCCACCCGAUACUGCUGUGACUUGAGUCCGGUAGGGGAGCGUGGAAUUCCUGGUGUAGCGGUGAAAUGCGCAGAUAUUAGGAGGAACACCGGUGGCGAAGGCGGGUCUCUGGGCCGAUACUGACGCUGAGGAGCGAAAGCGUGGGGAGCGAACAGG
rnacentral:rRNA from 1 species